CUCAUCAGAUCACUUCACGAUGAUAAAGGGAAAAGUUAUGAACCCUAGCUUUCUCCAUCCUAAUUGAUCGUGAUCGACACCGCUCAUCUCGCCGCAAGAACCCAUCAUGGGGCGGUGGCUGGUCUUCAUCGUGGUGGGAAUUUGAGCCCAAUUUUUGCAAGCGGUGAACGACUUUGUCGAUGGCGUUGAGGGGUUUGGAAUCAUCGGUCUGAGGAGGAAAAGGGUCAAACAAGUCGUCGUCGUCGUGGGUGGUUGGGUUGGGUGGUGGUGGUGGUAGGGAGCCCCUAACAUUCCCUCCUCCCUCCGCCCGCACCGCUCAUCUCGCGCGUCCUUUCUCUCUCCGCUGUUGAGGUUGAUGAGGACAUGUUACUAUUGGUUAGAGGUUGUGUUAAGCCAAUAAGGCAGCAAGGGGGUCAUGGUGAUUUGGUUUUUAUGACUGAGUUGAUGAUUCGGGUUCAUGAUCCUUAUGCUGGGUGUUAAUUGGCGAGGUCUAAUCUAUGCUUGGAGUUGUUCCAAGCUGGUUCCAAGUGCUUCCAGGUUAAGCAGGACUGUAUCAACUGUGGUGUUUGCAUACGCAAGUACUUCUGUGGGACAUGUAAACUCUUUGAUGAUGUGCUAAUCACUAAACCUAAGGUUCUCAACUAAGAAAGAUCCAGAGUGGCUAAAGGACGUAAGGGAACAAGAGGCUAUACUGGUUUGUUGCAAUUGAAGCUGGAAUGGGUACAAAUGUUUUCUAUUGUCUCAAGAUUUUGAAGCCUCCCCAUAUCCACUUUUCCUGUCUUAGGAUUUGGACAUAAAGAAAGGGCACAUACUUUUGCAUUUGUUGUUGCAAUUUUAACUCGUGGUUAGAAUUUUAUCCUCUUUUCUAUGCUACUUUAUAGAGUAACCCCAGAUGCUUGCUGCUAUGGCUUGUCAUAGGCUGAGAUGUAAUUUAAGUAGGCCAAAUAAGAAUUAGGCCUUCUUCACUUUACCUUCUUCCUGAACAUUUGAAGCCUUUCAGAACAUCCUUUAUUUGAGUUCAUGGGUUUCUUUUGAUUGUUUGAUAUCUUUGUUUCUGUUUCCCUUUCACUCAAUGUUUUGGGUAGCCAAUAAUACUUUUAGAGGACGAUUGGAUCUAGAUGGUAGGUAAUAUGCAGUUAAGUCGAUUGAUAGAAAUUUCUUCUCAUGUUAGCACACCUAUCUAUCAUUGUAUUAGGCUUAUAAUUUUAAUGUUAGAUUGCAAGCGCAGAUGAAAAAAAAGUAGCUUAAAAGCUUCUAGAAAG